CAAUCUCCAUGCCAUGUCUGGGUUUUUCCAACAAGGGCAAGCAUAAACCCUGUUCCCACUCCCCUCGUUCUCUCCCAGCUCCGGCCUCCGCUCCCGCCACCCCAGCCCCCACCACUCGGCGCUCGCUCCUCCUCGUCCCGCCGCCGCUGCCUGCAUUCCACGAAAUCAACCACCUCUAUUCGAGAUACAACACGUGCCAUCGCCGCCGCCACUCCACUCCCCGGUGGGGACCAGGUACCUGGCCCCCAGGCGGCCGGGCCCCGACGCCGACCGACUCGUCGCUGCGCGCCCCGCGUCCCCGGGCGGCGGGAAUUCGGAGGCUGUUGGUCCGCCGCAGGCACAGCUGGCGCGCUCGAGCAUCAAGGCUCGCCUCUUGCUGGAUUCGUUCCUGACGUCUGCCGGCAUUGCGGUGCCCGCUGCAGCGACUGCGGUGGGGGGCGGCUAGGUCUGCGGCGGCUCGGGCUGGUGGCGUGCGCGUGGGUGCGUGCGAGCAUUGCGGCUGCGUGCUCUGCGCUGCUUUUUGACUUGGUAUCAACAGCCAACAGCCUACAGUUUGCUCUCAGGUGAGUCUAAUCUUUGCAAACGUAUGGUUCAAGAAGGUCUGGAUCGAUUCUGUUCAAGCCUUCAAGGCGAUGCGGCUAGAUGGUGAAUGUCAAGUUCUUAUCGCAGUUAGUGACCCAAGCUAGUCCUACCUCAGAUCAGAAAUUGCUGUCGAGGUAUGACCAUAUGACAGCCAAACUAAAGUUGUUCUUUUUUCUGAGAGUUGCCAAAUUACAGUUAUGAAGUUUCGGAUACAAUGAUUCGUGUGACUAUAUCAUGUGACCUAUAAGUUUUCCAUGUAAAAAGAAGAGACAGAGAAAAGGGCAUGUGCCGGCCAUGGUCAGACUGGGAAUCUGUGAGCCAGAUAUGGAGUCUAUGGCAUGGUGAUAAGCUAGAGCAUCCUGUAGUUUGCUAGCAAUAGAGAGUUAACUAACUGACUGAGUGUGAUGUUUUUUCCCCAAUUUUUUUUGUUUGGGAGAUGUUUGCACUGUAGUUUUACUGAUUGGAGGCACACAGGUUGGUGUUGAAAUACUUCUAUCCCUUGGAAAAUGUUGUGAGGAAAACUUGAAUGGAAAAAUGCAAAAUGAUUCUCCGGA